rnacentral:lncRNA from 1 species
ACUAUAUCUGCUGUAGUUUGUAGUGCUCAGUUCUAUUCCCCUAACAAUGAAUUUGAGAGUAUUGCUACUUUUUGAUAAUGUUAGGUUAGAGGAAACUUACUCAGGAUCCUGUAAGUUUGUCUUGCUCUAGGGCCAAUAGAUGACAGAGAGCAUGUUGGGAAAGGAAAGAGGAAAGUGUGUGAAUAAAGAGGCAAAUUUCUAGAGGCCCUUUGAUAAGACUUAUCCCAAAUCCUUAGAGGCAUGAUACUACCUUGGAGACAUUCUGUUGAAAUAAUUGGACUGUAUAAAAUUUAAUAAAUGUUUGCAAAAAAAAAAAAAAAGCACACAAGAGUAGAGAAAAAUAUGCUGUGCUACAGAGGGUAACAGUUUAUUGUACCCAGGAGUUUGUUAUUGUCUCAUGUUUUGUCUCCCCAAGUUCUCAAAAUCAUCAUAUAAACUGAUCACACUCCCCCCCUGAAAUCCUUGUUCUGAGUGCCAUUAUUUCUUCAGAAAAUACCCAGAGUGUCAUACAGAGGAGGGAGAAGGAUGAUAUUGUUUGAUGUGAUUUUCCCCACAAAGGUUCCUGUAAUGGAGGCGUGGUCCUCAGUGUGGAAAUGUUGAGAUGGAGAGAAGCUUUAAGAGGUGGGGCCUCGAGGGAGGCAACCAGUUCAUGAGGGCACCACCCUUGAAAAAGAUUAACACAGGUCUCAGGCAACUGGGUUAGUUCCUGUGAGAAUGGGCUGUUAUUUGGGAAUCUGGCACCUCCACCCUCCACUUGGCACUUAUGCAUAUGCUCCCAAUGCUAUGAUCUCAGUCACCAUGAGUCCCUAGCCAGAGCCAAGCAGAAGGCAGCACCUUGCUCUUGGC